GGGGAUUUAGCUCAGUGGCAUAAGCGCCUGCCUUGCAAGCAGGCAGUCAGGCAGUCGUGAGUUCAAUCCCCA
rnacentral:tRNA from 1 species